CUCAUCAAAACUGCAUAAUGAAUAAAAUAAAACACAGGAAAUAUUAAGGGCAGCCAUUUUCCUCUUCGUAGGACCUAUGCAGCGAGGACCCGAUGCCAGGUCCAGUGGACAGACUUCAGACGUCUCUGUGUGUCCCGUCCUGUCCGGUCCUGUCUCUGGUUGCCUGGUUACAGACGCUGCUGCACCCGCACGUUUAAAAAUGUCUACACCUGAAACUCCACCAUGUCUAAAGAAGCAACGUUUGCAAAUGUACAGACUGGAGUGGGAAGAGUGGAACCCCUGGCAAUGGAUACAAGGCAAACUGUGUUUUCUGUUGCUCAUGGACUGGCUGAAGUAAGGCAGCAUCAGGAGACAAACAUGGAGGAAAUAUGAGAACAGAGAGAACCCAACCAGCAGGUCACAGUUUAUCAUCAUCUAAUCAUCUCCUGAAGUCCAUAUGGUCCCUCUCUAUCUCCCCACACAUCCACCAACCACUGGAACACAUCUCCAAAGUUCUGCUGGACCAGCUCAGCUUCCCCUCAGAAGAAGUGCUGCCACCUGCCAGAUGAAGGAGCCUUUUGAGAGGCAGCUGGCAUCGUGAUUGGACUGUACUUUGGUCUGUUCCAAUCCAGCUUCAGCUCCAGAGACGGCAGGCGGGACGAGUCAACGGAGGCCUGGUGGACGAAGGCAUGAAGCUGAGUACAAUCCAGAAAACAACAGAGGAGGAGUGCAGCAGCCCAGGGCCAGAACAACCAGAGUUGCAUCGUAUGUCUCUUAGAAAACAUCAUAGUAGAGCCUUUGGUAUGAAAAAACACCAUCGUAUACAUCAUAUAUUGUACAAAUAACAAGUCAAAGGAAAGAGACAUACAUUGUAGAAUUGUAGUAAUUGUGGGCUGACUGAUUUACUGAUUAUCAGUAUUUUAUUUUUUUUUACUGAUUUACGGUAAUAAAUACAUUUAAAAAUGG